CAACGUAUAUUUGGCCCAUUUAUUGAGUACAUGGACAAAAAGAAUAAAAAGCCCAUUUCACCUUGUAAUUCUUUAUUAUACGCAAUAGCUGCUACUCCCUUAUUUUCCAUUCUUUCACUUUCUCUUAUCAUAUAAUACUUGAUUCUGUUUUCCUAUUUUUCUAAAAUAAACCCUAGCCGCUAUACGCUCUGAAAUUUUCUGAUCCAUCAUCUUCAUCAUUCCCUUCCAUCCUAAGCUUCGAGAUCAUUAAACGACUCGUCGACUGUUCGUACUUCAGAGGCGAAUAAGUCAGGGUUCACGUGGAAUAGCAAGCAGUUUAUGAUUUGAGCUUUGGUCGAUCUCCGUUUCUUCAUUCUCGGAGGUUCUUUAUUUAUUUCAAAAAUAAAGUGUCGAACUAUUUUAAACUCUUAGACCGCAGUAGUAGUUUCAUAUUAUUCAUGUCUUAGUCUUACGUUUAUAGUUUUUGACUAUUGUUGUUGGAUUUGUCCAACUAUUACUUUAUCGCUUUUGGCAUGA